rnacentral:rRNA from 1 species
GACGAACGCUGGCGGCGUGCUUAAUACAUGCAAGUCAACUUGACUUUAGAUAGCAAUAUCGAAAAGUAGGGUGGCGCACGGGUGCGUAACGCGUAGGUAAUCUGCCUGAGGUCUGACAUAACCCGUCGAAAAGGCGGGCUAACAUCAGAUGAUAUAUAAUCACGACAUCGUGGAAAUAUCAAAUCUUCGGAGCCUUGGGAUGAGCCUGCGUCUGAUUAGGUAGUUGGCGGAGUAAUAGCCCACCAAGCCUACGAUCAGUAGCUGGUCUGAGAGGAUGAUCAGCCACACUGGAACUGAGACACGGUCCAGACUCCUACGGGAGGCAGCAGUAAGAAUAUUGCUCAAUGGGGG